CAAAAUCUUAAAAUAAUUUAUAGAGAUUAUUUCAUGUGGCUAAUCUUGAUUGUUGGUUCUUCAAUGCCAUUUAAUCCUAGAAACACCACAUACAUUC